rnacentral:tRNA from 1 species
GGCCAGUUAGCUCACUCUAUUAGAGCAUGGUGCUGAUAACACCAAGGUCAUGGGUUCGAUCCCUGUUUGGUCC